rnacentral:rRNA from 1 species
GACGAAGGGGGCUAGCGUUGUUCGGAAUUACUGGGCGUAAAGGGCGCGUAGGCGGCUUGGUAAGUUGGAAGUGAAAUCCCGGGGCUUAACCUCGGAACUGCUUUCAAAACUGCUGAGCUGGAGUGUAGUAGGGGAUGAUGGAAUUCCUAGUGUAGAGGUGGAAUUCUUAGAUAUUAGGAGGAACACCGGUGGCGAAAGCGAUCAUCUGGACUACAACUGACGCUGAGGCGCGAAAGCGUGGGGAGCAAACAGG